CCUUUCACAGUAACAAGUUGUCCACAGACUCGGCGCAGAUGGAUAGAAAAAUCCUAAUCUCAUCUACGGAAACAAAGAGAAGGGACAAUCAUUGCAAAGUCGGCACGUGCUCCAAAAACUAAGCAUGCUGGUUAAACGCUUUCUGUAACACUUAGCUGAUGGAAAGCGUUCUUGAGAAAUUAAGGCACUGUAAAAUGAGAGGAAAAAAGCAAAACUGAAAGGCAGAGUCCCCAAGAGCAACUCCAGGAGGAGUCUGAGAAAGCACCGAGUCAGACCUCUACUUCCAUAUUUCUGAAAAUCCUAAAAAAAAAAUCCUCGCAUUCUCUCUCCUUGUGGCAGCAGCUACAUGAGGACUAUGAGAAAACAGGUUUACAUACACACAAGAAGAAGACAUGCUUCCAACAAAUCUCUAUGAACUGGGACACAAGUCCUGAGGAGUGUCAUGCUGGUAGAAACUGUGAGGUAGAGAGCACUGGAGGGUGAAUUCUUAUCUUUAUACAAAAAGACUACAGAUCCUGCAGAGAGAAUGUGAAGUUUCAAAUUUUAUCCGCUCAAAGACAAGCCAAUUAUACAGCAUCAUCUGAAUGAUUUAUCUUCCUCAUCUGGUAUGCCCCACUAUGUGACUACAGAGUUCAGCUGGCUUGAAGCAUCAGUGUGACAGUAGUGCAACUGCCCAGUCUUCACAGCAGUGUUCAGGACUGACCAGCUGGUAGCUGAUUUCCUGCUACAAGAUCUUGUCUGAAAGCUGCACUCUGGGAGAGUGUGAAGGCUGAAGGUGGAAAACAAACUUAAAGAUGCUUUGUCCCAUUUGCACACAUUUAAAGUGACACUGGAACUGGAGAGCAUCUAGGAGUGGCCACGGUAUUAUAAUUCAGCAACAACAGGCCUUGGACAAUCUCAAGGGUCAUCAGGACCAGCAUGUUUCCUACAGUGAAAGAAGCACCAUGCACUGAGACCACACUGGCUCUGCAGGCCCUAUGAACGGGGGAAUCCAUCAGCAAGUGCCAUACUAAUGGAGGACCUUGGUUGGUGUGGCAGAAAUACAGCCUGAACCAGUGAUUGAGCACCUGGUGGGAGGGCAGGGCCAACCCUGGGGAGCUGAGUCAUAUGCAGUGCACCUGAAUGACAGGAAGGGAUGAAGCCAGGAUCCACCCCUUCCAUCAUUUAAGCAUUGGCAGAGGCAAUGAAGGUAUUUCAUUUGAGAUCUCUGCCUACCUGAGGCCCUCCAAAGGACAGAAAGCACUUGCGAUCCCUGAUGUGCACAGAGGCCCAGAAAUACCAGUUUCUGCCACAUUUUAUUGCCCCUGCCUAACAAUCCUUGGCACUAGAGAGGAUUAACAACAGGAUGAUGGUUAUAAUCAUACCAGGCCUGCCAAGCAUUAGCUUGUGGCAGUGCCAUUAAAGGCCCAAGAAUUUCAGCUGGAACUACAGGUAUUUCUCUUGUUACAAAAACAGCACUGGGGAGCCCCCAGGCAACAGGAGUAAUACAAGAGGCUGAUAAUGCAAACAAACCCCAUAUUUGAUCUCAGAAAUGAUGUUUCAGUCCUGAAGCUCUUCAACACAGGUAUCUGUUACAUCUGUUACAUACUGAUACAUACUGUUAUCUGUAACACAUUUCUGUGCACUCCACCUCCAGGGCUGACAUACUACGAGAUGCUUCUGAGUAUUUUAUUUUAUUUUUUUUCUUAAACAUGGACUACUUGGAAAAUUAAAAGGAAAACAUACCAUUGUGAGAUUUGAUCUAUUUCCUCUCUCAUAUGGAAAAAGGUUAGUUAUAAGUAACACAAAGUGAUGGAUCUGUGGGAGAGCAAAAUUAGCUAUGACAUGGUUUAAAGCACUUUAAUAAAUUUAUUAAAAGUCAAGAUGUGCUUCAAAAUAAAUCUCAGUGCACUUUCAAAAAAUUGCAUGGCUUAAAAAAGAUGCACUCAAGGAAUGA